rnacentral:rRNA from 1 species
AUUGAACGCUGGCGGCAUGCCUUACACAUGCAAGUCGAACGGUAACAGGUCUUCGGAUGCUGACGAGUGGCGAACGGGUGAGUAAUACAUCGGAACGUGCCCGAUCGUGGGGGAUAACGAAGCGAAAGCUUUGCUAAUACCGCAUAAGAUCUACGGAUGAAAGCAGGGGACCGCAAGGCCUUGCGCGAACGGAGCGGCCGAUGGCAGAUUAGGUAGUUGGUGGGAUAAAAGCUCACCAAGCCGACGAUCUGUAGCUGGUCUGAGAGGACGACCAGCCACACUGGGACUGAGACACGGCCCAGACUCCUACGGGAGGCAGCAGUGGGGAAUUUUGGACAAUGGGCGAAAGCCUGAUCCAGCCAUGCCGCGUGCAGGAUGAAGGCCUUCGGGUUGUAAACUGCUUUUGUACGGAACGAAAAGACUCUGGUUAAUACCUGGGGUCCAUGACGGUACCGGAAGAAUAAGCACCGGCUAACUACGUG